AUACUAAUUUGAAAAGGAAAAAUGGACAAUUUUUGGGCCCUGCGAUCUCGCUUAACCCCUAAUUGAUUUCAAGUAAACCACGUUUCUCGCGAAGAUAAUUUUUUUCACGAUUCGUGAAUUUAAGAGGAACUGUGCAAAGUUAUCUUUUUCCGAUUUUGAGGUUAUAUGCAAGUUUACAAAAACAGAAUAUUUCUCGAUUAUUGAAACGUGACCGAUCGAUGUGUAUUUUGUUUAAUCUGUAAACGAUCUUUAAAGGAUUAAAAAUUUUAAUGCAAGAAAGUUUUUACGAUUGUUACAUUGCUACAUCGGAACAAUUAUUUUUUUAUAAAUUUGAAAAUGAAUUUCCUCCACUUUUGAUACAUUCUUCGAACCACCAUGACGUGUCCAGUCUGCGACUUCUGUGAUUAACGCAAACACAAUUGAGGGAGAGGUUUAAAAAGCAGCGUCGAGGCAUGGUCAAAAAUAAUGUCCCUUGUGCACGGUCGUUUAACGAAAGGCGACGAAAAUAAGGAUGAUGGUUGCUCGCGCAAGAGAGAGAAACGAGACGGACGGAUAAAUCACGACCGAGACGUAGUCGCAGACAAAAAUCGUAAAAGAACCGGAGAGAAGCACCCUUUUCGAUGCUCGAUUUUUCUUUCAUUCGUAGAUUUUGAUUUUCACAGGGAUUCUAUGAAUGCUCUUUCGACCGGAUAUUGAGGAAGAAAAGAUAGAAAUAGAAUUGAGGGAAAGUUAAGGGAAAGAGUUGAAGGUAAAAUAAUAAAGGUAAAUAAUAAAGUGAAAAUAAUAAAGAGAGCUUUUCUUUAUGCAUAAGUAAGAUGUAUGUAGAUAAGGAAGGAAGUAAUAUAGAGAAGAGCAUUUUAUUGUGAUUUGGAAAAAAGAAAAGAAAUAGCAGAUGGAGAUAGAGAAAUAAAAUGAAAGUAUUCUUUUUAAUUUAUAAUAAAGAUUUGAUAAGUGAUUUUCUAUUUAUGAAUAAGUGGUGUAUUGAUGAGAAAGAAAUGCAGAAGAGAGAGAAAAUUGUUGGUUUGUUACUUGAAAAAGAAAUAGCAAAAAAAGAAGAAUUAUAGAUGGAGAAAGUUAGAAAAAUUGAGCAAUUCUUUUUUGUUUAUGAAAGGAAAAUAAGAAUUGAGAAUAUUUGAUUUAUAAAAGUAUGAAAUAUGAAGGAUAAAAAUUUAGUAAGCUUAAUGAUUGUGAGAUUGAUGAGGAAGAAAUAGUAGAAGUACAGGAGACAGAAAAAAUUAGAAAAAUUAAGAUUAAAAGAUUAUUCUUUUUGGAGGAUAAAGAUUUGGUAAGUUUCUUUACUAAUAAGUGAUGUAUUUGUCGAAAAGAAAUAUAUGGAAGAAAGAGAAAGUUACAAAAAUUGAUAGUAAAAGUAGUUCAUUUUGUGAUGAAGAAGAAAGAAAAGAAGAAUUGAGAUUAUUUGGUUUGUGAUGUAAAAGAAAAGAAAAUAUGCAGGAUAAAGAUUUGAUAAACUUCCAUUUAUGGAUAAGUGAUUAAUGAUGAAGAAAUAUAGAAGAAUCCGUCAAGAAUUACGAUCAAAAAAAUUUCCCAAAUAAAUCGGAGAAACGUUCGUUGAGUUGAUUAAUAAAUGAAGAAGUGAAAAAUGUUUUUUCUCGUGGCGGAAUUCAACGAAUAUCAUUUCUACGUUGUGAAAUUUCUCGAUGGACGGAGGUUCGAUAAGUCGUUGCAAGUGUUGGAAAAUCGAUCGAUUCUAUCUUGUUCGUCGCUGUGGAGAGAUGGAUCGUGACUCGUCGAUUGGUAUUGCGACGAUAGCGCAAUGAGAAUGCAAAUAAGGAGAUACGCGUGCCUGUUAAUUGCACCCGAUGAUAUCGAGUCGAAUAAUAACAAUCGGAUUGCGCCUGAAGAAAACAAACUUUUUCAAUGAUAAUGCAACUCUUGAUAAAUUACGUUGGAAGCGAUUCAAGGAUAUACAUUUUAUUCUUUUAAUUGAACGCGUACGCGGUAUGAAUAUUCCAUUCGAUGCACGAAUUAAUUAAUCGGACAUCUUUAUCCAAAUACUUUAAUCCAAAUGUUCUGUAACCGGAUAAUAUAUUAUUUCUGUUCACAGCAACGUAAAUGUCUCCAAUGUUCAAUGUUUUAAUUCAAUAUUCAAUAUUAUAGUGUUUAAUGUUUCAAUGUUUAAUAUUCAACACUCUGGUAUUCAGUAUUUUAAUGCCCAGAAUUUCAAUGUUCAAUAUUCCAAUGGUUAACGUUCUAAUAUUCCAGUGUUCAAUGCAAUGAAAAUGAAAUUUAAUUUGAAGUUGACGUCGCAUAACAUGGAGUGCAAUAACAUUGGGCAAAUCGUAAAUAUGCAUUAAUUAUCGAAGUAAGAGACGCUUAAGAAAUUAGAAAGUGGCGAGAGUGCUACAGAAUUGAGAAAACCAUAUAACACUAGAAAACCCAUCGUAAUCAUUGGCAUUGAAAAAACAAAAGGAUGAAAUUGGAAAAUAUUGUUCGUUGAAAAAUUUAUGUAGCUUUCGUUCUUAAAAACGAUAUACGAGAUUUCUAAUCUCCGUAGUAAAAUUUUAUCGCUUAUUUUCCUAAAAAAAAAAAAAAAAAGGAAGAAAGAAAGAAAGAAAGAAAGAAAGAAAGAAAAAAGUAAAAUAAUUCAUUCAAGAAAAAUCUGAAAUCUUAUCUCCCUUUCUUAACUCGGAUAAUAAUAUAAAAUAAUAUUUAUAUUUUGCCUGGAAUUAAUAAUUCUUUCCUCAAAGUCAAAGUACAAUUUUUUUUUAUUCUCUUUCUUUUUUUACUUCUGUAUCAGAUAACGUAUCGUCGAGACGGUUAAUUUUUUUCGCGGAUUUAAUCCCACUAAAAAUAUCGCCUGUUUCUUCUUUAUCUUCUUUGUUCAAGAAUUUCUCUUCGUCUAUAUUUAUACGUUCCUUUUUCUCUUUUUAUCACUUUUUGGCAACAAUUUUAUGUUAUAUUCGUCGAUAUACAUCGAGGAAUCAAUAUAACUUGGAAUUAAAAUACAUUGGAGCGACGUUGCAGAAAGGAAAAGAAAAAAAAUUGAUUGAAAAUUGUGAGGGGAGGGGGGACGUGAUAUUAUAAAAUCGAUUCGAUCAUCGAGCGAGGCGUCGAUCCGUUGGUGGAAGGAUCGAGAGAUCGUCCAAGGCAAGGUUUCCACGGGAGAAAUAAAAGACAGGAGCGCGACUAGGUGUCCUUCGUCCUGAUCCAAUCGCCAUGGCCGCCAAUUUUUUCCGUCUGGCCCGAACCCGAUCAUAAUUCCCAUCGUACGUCGUCGAUUACAUUCGAGUCUCUCCUUUAUCAACUUCUUCUCUUUCUUUCUUUCAUAAGAAUAUAUUUUCUUUGGGGAAAGGAUAUACGACUUAUCGUUUGAAUUUUUGAAUCGACCGUUUCGUUUCGAAUAUAUUCGUAGAAGAAAAAUCCGAUCGAUACGCGUUAGAAGGCAACGGAAAGAGUUACUCCAUAUUCAGACUGAAUCCGCCGCCGUUCGAGGCCGAGCUUGCCUCAAGGUCAAUUCUUACCCGGCAACCGCUUUGAAACGUAUCAUCCGUAAGCGCGAUAAAUUAAGAGAAAGGGCUUCUAUCGAAACGCACGGUAAAAAUAUUGCCGCGAGCAUGGAAAUCGCAAGUAAACUACGAAAUUAAUCUUUUCACGGUAGAGAGAAAAGAUUAAUUUCGUAGUUUAUCGAAUUCUCGAAUUCUCGAAUCGAAUUCUCGUUCAGUUUCGGUAAAAACUGUGUGUUUUGUCUACGCGUCUCUUUUAUAUUCAAAUAAUUCGAAACGAACAAAGGAAAGGAAGAAUAAGAGAUCGUCGGAUCGAGCAAAUUAACCGUCCGUACGAAUCUUUAAAUCUUCCACUCGUCACGUCUCGAGCGAUAUCGGAGUGGUGGGGGGACGGAGAAGGAAAAGGACGGUGGGGAGUAUAAUCGUUGGAAGACGUAUCGACGGACAAACAGGAAGCAUCACGCGGCAGAAACGAUGCCAAAGUGGAGAGCUCGGCCUUGCCAACCGAGUUCCAGCUCGUGUCACGUGCGGAAUAGGAGCGUACAUGCGAGCGGGUUGCCGUAGGUCGGCGACGAAUCAUCAUCAUCAGUGGCUUGAGACUUGUACAUAUUGGCCGUAGAAGAACGCGGAUAACCUAGGCCGGAGGCUCGAAGGCCGAUGGAAAAUUCAUUUCCAGGCUUAUUUAUAACCGGCACGCCAUAAUGUAACGCCAAGUGUUGUGCAACGAUCACGUUUCUUUCGUCAAUUGGUCGCUUCAUCAGAAUUGAAGGGAUGUUCGAUAAAAUUGUCGUCGUUCGAAAUAUUGGUAUUGGUAAAUUUCCAAUUGGUGGAAAAAUUAUAAAUUUCGAACGGAAGAUUUGGAAGAUCCAAAUUUUGGAAAGUAUUAAAUUUCUGAAAGGGCAGAGGAAUUUUAAAUUUCGAACGGAAGAUUUGGAAGAUCCAAAUUUCGGAAAAUUUUAAAUUUUUAAAAGGGCAGAGGAAUUUUAAAUUUCAAACGAAAAAUUUGAAAGAUCCAAAUUAUGGAAAAUAUUAAAUUUCUGAAAGGGCAGAGGAAUUUUAAAUUUCGAACGGAAGAUUUGGAAGAUCCAAAUUUUGAAAAAUAUUAAAUUUUUAAAAGGACAGAGGAAUUUUAAAUUUCGAACGGAAGAUUUGGAAGAUCCAAAUUUUGGAAAAUUUUAAAUUUUCGAGAGGAUGGAAAGGGUAGAGGAAUUUUAAAUUUCAAACGAAAAAUUUGAAAGAUUUUGGAAAAUAUUUUCCAAUUAAUAUUUUCAAAUAAUAUUUUCAAAUUUUGGGAAAUAUUAAAUUUUUGAAAGAGCAGAUUUUAAAUUUCGAACGGAAGAUUAGGAAGAUCCAAAUUUUGGAAAGUAUUAAAUUUCUGAAAGGGCAGAGGAAUUUUAAAUUUCGAACGAAAAGAUUUUGGAAAAUUUUAAAUUUUUGAGAGGAUAGAAAAGACAGAGAAAUUUCCAAAACAGAAAAAGAGAAGAAAGAAAGUUUCAAAGAAAUUUCCAAAUUUCAGGGAAUAAAAUACAGAGAAAAUUUUUUAAAUUUCAGAGAAUAGAGAAAGAGGAUGGAAAUUUUGAAUAUUUUGGAGAACAGGGAGGAAGAAAAACUUCAAAGAAAUUUCCAAAUUUCGAAUAGAAUACAGAGAAGAAUUUUUAAAUUUCAAUAGAACAGAGGAUGGAAAUUUUCAAACUUCGAAUUUCGAAAUUUCCCAAUUUCAGAGGCCAAAAAUUUGCAAAUUCCCAAACUCGAGUGCAAAAAAAGAGAAAAAAAAGAAAGAAAGAGGGGAAAAGCAAAGAGUGGUCUGUUACAAGCAUGGGAUGCGUAAUCGAAAGGGGUGGAACAGGUGUCGCGUGCGUGUAACGCGAGGGGACAUCGAUAACCGAUAUCUGGUUGGUGGGCAGCACCUGUCGAUGCCUCUCUCCGCAUCGCAUCGCGGCGUAAUCCCCGUGCGUGAUGUUGUGUAACCCUCACGUUUCGCCUUGCUCACGUGCCUGCCUACCCGUAAUAAUCACUCGUCGCGAGUGCAAUUAUCGGUGGUGCCGCGUGCUCUGUUACGCGUCUUCCCCGUUACACGUGAAAAAUUUCAUCGGUUUGGCAUUUCGACCGAUUAACCAUUAUCUUCGCGGAUACUUAUGCUAAUUACGCGUUACACGUUAUUGAAAAAUUCACUCACGUACGCUUCGCCGAAAAAAAUAUUUCAUUUCGAACGCGCGCCAUUGAAAAUUUACGAGCGUUGGAAUUGAAACUUGUUGAAUUCGUCGGAAAAUUACGAUUCACGGCGAUAAUGUAAGAUGUUGAUCUUAUAAAAUUCCAGAAUAUUUUUCAAAAUAUGCAUAUAUGAUUCUUCGAAUUUAUAAAAAUGCAAUUUUCAUAUUUGUAAAAGUGGCAUUCCGCAUGGCUGGAAAGCGCGAUACAUCGCGAAGAAGAAUAAAACGUUGAUUAUAUUGAAAUCAUCGGGAAUAUGAUAUUAAUCGUCUCUCAAAUUAAUGGAAUUGAUUUGAAAUAUUAAUUUAAAAGUGUUUAGAAUUUUUCGAUCGAAAAUUAUCGAAAUUGGAAAUAAGAAACUGGAAAAAGUAAGUUACGUUAGAUCGCUUCUUUAUUCGAAUAUCUCCUCCAAUAAUAACCGACGUCAAAAUUAAGCGAGAAGUUCUAUUUAUAGACAGGUGGCAGCAGCGGUAGCGGCAAAUUUGGGUAAGUGGGUAACAUUGUGGGAAGAUAUGGAUGACAAGUUUGGAAAUAUCGAGGGAACUUGGCGUAAUAAGACUAAUAUAGAAUCGUCAAAGGAUGAGUCGAUUCUGAGAUAUUGUCUUUCCCUGAAUAGAUAAAAUUCAAUAGAUAUUGAUAUCUAUAGACGAGAGUGCGGGCCAUUGUCUCGUACGUUUCUCUCACGUAAGCGGGAUUGGAAGAUGAAAUAACACCAGGAUGCUCAAAAUAUUCGAUGCAUUUCUUCCUCCGGAUAAUGUUAAAUAUUAAUAGAAAUCAAAACUUCUAUACUUUGGCUGUUUAGACUCGAUUAUUAUCACGACGACGUGUUGUUGUCUCGUGCUCGUUCGUUCGUUCGAAGAAACAGACGGAGCGAAUUAAUAACGCGACGGGGGAAUGGAUAUGUUUAUGUAACUGAAAAGUAGGCGAAACGACGCUACGAGGUCACGUGUAGAGCGAUUUUACACGCUGGCCUACGACGAAACGAAUAAGCGACGAACGGUCCAAUCCUCGGCCGGUUACAGUGAUCUCUUUGUUUCGAACUUUGAAUUUUUUAAUCUUUGAAAUUUUUCUAUCCACUGCAGAGAGAUUUGUCUUCUUUUGUAUUCGUAUUUUUUCCAAUUCUUCAAAGUAAACACGUUAAAUUAUCCAAGAUCUUCGAACAAUGCCGUAAUGCCGCGCUUUAUUUAUUUUAUCAGGAUAUUUCUCGACGAUACGUAAUGUAUUACAGCGCGAUAAACCGCCGAUAAAAUAACUCGGAAAAUAAUUAUUCCCUUAUCGCCAAGGUUGAUCUUCAAACACGUAACAUCGUUUUUUUCAUUUUUUUCAAGUUUUAAUAAUCGUUUUUUUAAACAAUAACAUCAAUAUAUAUAAAAAUUCAUAGAAAUAUAUAUGUAUACAUAUGAACCUAUAAGAUUAGUUCUUUCAAUCCUCUGAGAUCAUCGACGAUAUCCCUUAUCUCAAAAUCCAAAAGAGAACAAAGAAGAAGAGACCAUAAAAGAAACCGAAUUAACCGAAGAAAAGGGAGAGAGAGAGAGAGAGAGAGAGAGAGAAGAUAAUAACGUCAGACGUGAAUCACAGGAACGUCUUGGGUACACGUGAUCGUUGGAUUAUUGAUGGUUCUCGAGCGUAAAAACGUUGGCAUAUUAUAGCGGGUCGGGCCGUUGCGUAAAGCUCGCAUAACCGGCACGUUGUCACGUUCCAACGGUGAAGAGAAAAGGGAAAAGGAGGAAGGAGAGAGAGAGAGAGAGGGAGGGAGGGAGAAAGAGAGAAAAGAAAAAGAAGAAAAAGGAAAAGAGAAAAAGGAGCGCGAUAACGAAGGUUCGUCGUUUCGAAUCGAACGGCACGUGACAGUGGCGGUUGUUUCGGUGGAAAUGGCCGCGCUUCUUGUCCUCGUGACCGCGAAUGUAACGCAAUCGCGUAUUGAAUCAUCACGCGAGCGCGCACCGUUGCGAAAUUCAUUGGCUAGGCGCGUGACCCGAAGAAAUCGUGGAAAAAAAAAUACGUUACAGUUUCUCUUUUGAUCUGGAUGAAAUUAAAGUCUUAACUCUCUCUCUAUCUCUCUUUCUCUCUCUCUCUCUCGCUUUCCAGGCUAAAACUUAUCCGGUGAGUAAUUAUGGUUUUUUUUCUCUUUUAAGAUGAGACUUGAUACUUUUGGAAUUUUUCAGGAGAAACGAUGUCCCUUUUGCUCUGGAUCAAGUUAAAGUCUUAGAAAGAGAGAUUUGGGAUGAGGUUAAAAUUGAUUUUUUAAGGAGAGGGAAUAUUUCUCUCUCUCUCUUACGCUCUUCUGUUUUUAGGCGAGUUUCUAAGACGAGUUAUCCGACGAAUAAUUACAGUUUCUCUUUUGCUGUGGAUGAAUUCAAAUUGAAUCUUAAGAAAUGUGGGAUGAUCGUCUCACAAGCGUGUCUCAUAGUCGCAGUCAAGGAGGAAGAUCUCGUUAUAGGUUAGGAUAUUUUUCCAAUCACUUUUUUCACAGCGAGUUAACUUUUAACGAUUCUUUCACUCAAUCUAUGAUAUUUCGAUGAUACGUUAUAUCAUUUUAUACUCUUGGCCAAAAAUUUGCCAGCGUUCUACACGUAUAUUAUAAAUAUCAAUACGUAAUUACUAGGAAACAAGAUAAGGAUCGAUCGUGUGCCGGACUUAUCGUCUUUCCCAUACUUUAUCGUUAAACACUAUUAUUUCUUUUGACACGAACAAUUACGGAAAACACUAUUUCCGUCUCUGUUGGAGGAAAUCGAUGGGAAGGGGGGAGGGAGGAGCAGGGUAUAAUUAGCUAGUCGCAAGCGCGAAAAAUGGUUGGCAAAUGGGGCGGUUAAUACGCCGCGAUAAAAAUCGAGUUCGUUUCACCGUGGCAAACCUGCAUCGAUUGCACUUUAUUUCUGACACAAUGCAACCUUAUCCCCCCCCUCCCCCCUCAUCCUUUCCUCCGCCGCUUUCCAAUUCUCGUCUCCUUUUUCUUUUUUUUUUUUUUCCUAACGAUUCAUUCCGUUACGAAGACGAGAAAUAUAAAAUUUUCGAUUUCGUUUUGUGUCAUGGUGGUAAUAAUAAAAUUGCACGAAAUCGUCCAAAUUCUCGUCCCUUUAUUUAUAAGAAUUUAUGGAAUAGUAACACACGAUAAAAUAUAAUUUUUAUCGAACAUUUAAUUUCUCGAGAGAGACGAGGAGAAACAAUCAUAUCUCUAGAGCAGGGGAACGGACGGAGAGACGGAUCAUUGAGAAUUGAUUCCGUCCGAGCGAUCUCGAUUUCGAUCUCGUUAAGCUUAACAUCCUUCCCCCCUCGGUUCCCUCGCGCGGGACCGAUAAAGAUUGCAUCACGUUGCGCAAUCUCUAUUUACGCCUCCCGUUAGCAAUAAUAUCAGCGCGGCCAUUUAAAUAUAGAAAGUUGCGUUGUGCGUGGCUCGCCCACGAUUCUCGUCUCGGAGAUUUUUCGUGCGAUUCGAUCCAGGCUCCGCCCGUUUUCCGCGUGGGACAACCGAGUUUCCCCGCCCUGAUUUUUAUCCUCUUCGAAGCGGAGGAGGAGGAUAUCCCGAAAUCGAAAAUUGUGAAACGGGGAUAUUGAGUGAUAUUCGUGGGACAUAGUUUCAACGAAAAUAAAAAAGAAACUGAUGCAAUUUCACGAUGACAGAGCGGUGCGGCGUGUUUCAACGAAAAUAAAAUUCGUCGAGGCAAAUUUCACGUGCACGUAUUCGAGGCAAGUAUUUUCGGCGAGCGAGUACGUUCGAUUUCGCAAGAAUUCGCUCGAAAUUAGAACUCGGAGGAGGAUCGCGUGAGCGGGUUUCGGCUUUUCCCGUCGCGGCGCUGGCAUUGUUUGACCACCUCGCGCGAUCCUUGCGGUUCGACGACCGCGCAUCCUCUUAUCAAAACACGGAGCGGAUAUUUUCGCGUUCCCCGUAGUCUAGACUCUUGUUAAACAAACACGGCUGCGAUGCCCGAGAAUUAAAAAUUCUCGCGAAGGAUCCUUCCCGAUUUCGAGCGUUCGAACAAAGGAAAUAUCAUCGAUGAACGUAUUUUCGUAUUUCUUUUUCUUCCGAAAGGAUAUCCCGCGCAAUAUUUCGUCAAAAUAUUUCGAUUAUUAACGACCCUUCUCCCCCUCCCCCCUCGCUCGAAGGACUCGCGCUCGUAAUUAGGAUAGCCUGAUUGUGUGUGGAAUUACGCUCGGCCAAUUAACUAGUUAGGAAUAAAUUACCGCUUUUACCUGGCGCGCGGUUACGUAAGCGCUGGCUAUUACCAACUCCUAACUGCACCUCUCCCGGCCAGAUAUCAUUACCGCGGAUAGUUAGUUCUCUUUGCUUUGCGUCAUCGCGCCCGGCUCCCUGCGCGUUACAACGUGACCCUCGUUAUUCCACGAUAAUUGCCGAAUUUUUUUUCGAAAGGAAAAUUUUUCUCCCUCGCAUAUGGGAUAUCGUAAAAUCGAACGAACGAAUCUUGUUCUCGAGUAAUUUCGCGAGGAAAAGUGGGAGGAGGGGGGAAGGAAUAAUAAAGUCUCUCUCUGAAACGAUAAUAAGAAGGGAGAAAAGACUCGUUUUGUCACGGCGCCGCUAGUUUGCGCAGGUAUCGAUCGAUUCGCGCAAUUACGCUUCUCGAUACGUGUGUGCGUAUAUUCUAUAUAUCCUCUAUAUUUAACCUCGGCUACCACUAUUAUGCAUACAGUUACAUCACUGCCACGGAUUAAAAUAGCGAAUCCGCGAAGUUCAGCUCGCGAUAAACGUCCGUCCAGCCCGCUGCGGCACUCGAUAAAGCAGUUUUAUCAGUUCGAUGACGUCUUCCAAUACAUUUUUCCACUUCUCACUUCUUCCUUUUUCUCCUUUCCAAACCGUCUCGUCUCGAGACUUUGUUUGGACUUUCUGUCGAUAAUUCCCACGGUGGGCCCGUUCGUUAUCGCAAAUUUAGCUUAGGUUCAAAAACGGGGCGAGGUUGCCGCCCACGCUGCUCGAUACAAAUCUAGCGCUCUGCAGUACCUGCAGGGAAACGGUUCAGGAGCGUUCAGCUCUUUGACGAAUCUUGCGAGUUUAUAUCCUUAUUAGAAAUGUUAUUCCCUCGUUUUUCCAUCUCGUGUUACGUUUUCAUUUACAUUUCACGGAGAUCUGAGGAGAAGAUAUAAGCUUCGAUUUUGUAUAUAUAUAUAUGGAUAUGCGAUAAAAAGCAAAUGUUACGUAACGUUUUAUCUCGGUAAACAUUAUGAAUAAGAAAAAAGAAGAGGAAAAAGAGAGAGAAAAAAAUAUGGAUAAGUAAUGGUGGAGCGUGCGUCGAGCGAUUCGAGACGAAUGUGUAAUGAUAAACAAGAACAAGGGAACACGUAACACGCUCGUUAAUUAUGCCUCAAGGAUGCAUCUCAUUAAAUACGCUAAGGCAACAAGAUUGCGCCAACAGAUUUUUCCAAAACGUUUAUUAUUAUAUUUUCCAUCCAUUUCCGCGCGCGAAAUCCGGCAUCGAAAUUCGACUCGUUUCGAAGAAAGAUUACGAUUUUUAUUCAUCCUCUUUAAAUCGAAAACAAUGUAGGAUUAAAUAAUUUUUAAAAAUAGCCGCGUUCGAGAAGAUCUUUUUCGUUUGAGAAAAAACGCAAGAAGAAAAAAAUGUUGCGUUUGUUCUUCUCAUACACGUUCGUUUUGAUAUUUUCGACUCGAUGUAACUGACCUUGCCGCGCGAUAUCCAUUGCGUAAGAACCUAUUCGUUCUCUCCUCUCCUUUCCUUAUUUCUUUAAACGAUUCCAAUAAUAAAAUAACAAGCUCUGAUCGUGUGUUUUUUUCUUUUUCUUUUUCUUUUUUUUUUCUUCUUUCCAAAGAAUCGGCACGAUUAAUAAUAUAUCUUCGAUGAUUUGAUCUUCGAUCAUCUUAUUUACGUUAUAUAUCCGUUGUAUCGAGAGAGAGAGA